GAUAUUAUACAAGGACACGGUUGAAAGAGUGGAAUGAUGAACAUAGAUAUUAUACAAGGACACGGUUGAAAGAGUGGAAUGACUAAACUAGACAACAAUUACUAUGUAAAGGGCACGAUUGUCGGAUCAGGUAAACAGCAGCGACCUUUCUUCCUGAUUUGUCCGUUACCAACUCUUCAUAGAACUUGAAUACAUGUGAGGUAAUGUACAUUUCACACACCUGUCGGAGUACAUCCAUCUGCACCGGCCACCCCUUCCACAAGAGCAAUUAAGCGAAUGACAGAAUUACAAAUAUCCACACAGAGCCUCGUCUAAGGAUUUGGUCGUGCGCGGCAAUGUCGGGCGAAUCCCGACCCGCGAGCACCGUAGGUGCAAGCCGCGCGAACACCGCAAGUGAGAGCCCGCGCGGGGGAUCUGGGGGGCCCUGCCCCAGAAAAUUUUGAAAAUUGACUCCCUCAGACUCGAUUUCUGAGCACUUAAAAUAGUUUCGGAGAUUUGAUACACUAUUAGUUUUGGCAUCUUGUUGAACCAUGGAUUGAUUAAUACCCUGUAAAAUCGAGAUCAAAACACUGCUGCGUCUGACCCGCAGACAGAAAUAUACCCAUAAAACAAUCAGAAAAACGGUUUUGUAAACCUUAGCACCAUGAUAUAGUAUUGGCACAUGGGAAAAACCUUGUCAGCGAUUUUCAAAAUGUAUGUAUGUUGCCGCCCAGUCUUCAACUUUUGGGCUCAGUUGGCGGCACAGAUUGGCCAGUGCGCGGCGGCGGCGCCGCCUUGUCACCAUGUUAAAGGAGGCUUUGUAUCCACAUUUUUUUAAUGUCUACGAUUCUAUUUCCCUGGGUAGUAUAUUAAUCCAAGAAUUCUCAUCUUAAUUUAAUUUUUCAGGUCUAGAUUUCAAAUCUUGAUGACUCCAAGGACCGGCUUGAGUCGAAAGACGGUGGCAUAUAAAUGUCAUCCCUAAUUUCUGUGACACCUUUUGAAAUUAAGGGCAUAUCUUAUUUUGUUUGGGUUUUAACUGAAGACCCCAAUCGUGCGUUAUAGUGGUGAUUGAAAAAAAAACAUUCUUCCGUAUACUGUGAACUCUCGUGUGGAAGAUAACAUGUUUCGUUCUGUUAUCUUGUGUUUAUGUUUAUAAUAAGAUAGGAUGGGGAGGGGGAGAAAGGUUUGCACAUGCGCGUUGCACCUAAGUCUAUCUUUGAGUCAAGUGGUGUGGUUUUGAUUCAUCGGUUGUACGUAAAAAGGAGUAGGGUCGCCUGUUCAGCCUCGUGGGUUUUCUCCGGUUGAACUAAAAUUGAACCAUAUAUAGUCUUGCGAAUCACAAAUUUUUAAUCUAUUUGAUCACGUUUUGUCAUUUAAAACUGCUGCAUCAACAGAUCAAAACGGCCGACGAAAGUGUUCAAAAUAUAAUAUUACACCGAAAUUACUAACGUAUUCUCUUGUUCGAUUUAUAUUGCAUUUAUAUUAUCUUUUUUACAGAAUGCAUUUAUGGUAAAAAAAAUCUUUCAUCAAGAGUCAUGUGCUUUUAUCACUGACAAGGGGGAACCACGCCGGAAAUUCUGGAUGAACUUUCUCGGCCUGUUUCUGAGAUCCUAAUACUCAUAGGUAUGCCACACGGUUCAAUGACCAUGUGGGUCGUGAUUUGAUUUUGAUUCAGUCACAAUGCGAGUUGACUACAUCGUUUGCUCGUACUGCUCAAUAGUCACAAACACUGUACGACCUAUUAGGUAGAACUUAAUAGCCAUUAAAAACCCACCCUUUUAUUAAAGGAUUGCACUAUCCAGGUAUAAUACGAAAGUUUAAAACAACCUUGCCAAAGCCGUUUCGUGUGUUCUCCGUAAUUGAACCAUUAAGACGCAGGGCUCGGUUUUUGUGCUUACCUCUUAAUAUAGAUACAUCUCUGAAUCACCUCACAGAUGAUCUGGUGAUAAUUUAUAACAAUUUGUAUGUACAAAUCAGAAUUGUUAUUAAUUUCCUGAAAGUAAAAUGUAAGAAGAAUGCAUUGUACUUUCGUAUCAAUUUUAUUUGUCAAUUAAAUUCUUGCUUUCACUUUAUAUGAUCACUGAAAACGUAAAUUAAUGCUAAACUGUCUUUUGUCAAGAAUGUGAGUACUAUUAGUAUGCUGGUUGGAAAUACGAUGGUAUAGGUUUUGUCGUAAAUACCUAGCCAAUUUGUUGUUGAUAUUCCAAUGAUAUUAACAUUUAUAGAUUAAUUACGUCACACUUUCUGGUCCCGCGUGGUUCCCUAUUUUCAGUGGUGUAGGACGGAGGGCCUGGCAAGGGACAACAUAUAGUCGUUCGGAUGGGGCAAACAACCGAGUCCCCAUGUACACAGAUCCCUAAAUAGUUUGAAUUCGAUAUAAGAGUACACCGCAGGGAAAAUUUCCCCUCAUAGCACACUGUAUGGCACAUUGCCGAGUCGGAACAAAACAGUAGGACGUUAAACCUAAUUUCAUUUUUAUGUCACCAUAGAGGAAAAUGCUGACUGGUUACUUGAUGUUGGCUGAUAAAUCAUGACAUUACAAUAAGCCGUUUAAAUUCACUAUUAAAAAUUAUAAAAGAAACAUAAGGCUUAGUGUACCUAGCCUUCUAUUCCUAAAGGUUUUAAAUAUCUAACCCCUCAUACAAGAUAUGGGUGGUUUGACGCUUUCGUAAUUCGUCACAGAAUUUGUAUAGCUCAAAUAAUACAUAGAUAAUGUUUUUUAGUGUUUAUUUUGUGUUUUUGAGCGUGACUUGAUUAUAGUUAGAUAAAAGAUUGUAGCAAGAUUGUCGUUGCGACAUUGUUUUCAAUUUAUAGGCAAGGAAUAGAGAAAUAAGAUGACUUUAUAUUUCAUUAAUUAAUGUAUUUGGCAAAUUAAUAGUUUCACACAUAUUCACAUAUAUAUUAUAUAUAGUGUGUACUUAAAUCAACUUAGGGUAUAAAUGACAUAUUGUUAUAUAAAAAAGAAUUAUUUAGCCAAAACAUGUGUCUAUAAAAUACCACGAGAUAUCGCGUGCAUGGAAAUUUGCCAUUGCAUCAUUUGGCUUAAUUUAACCAAUCAUAUCGUUAAUUGCACAGGUUCAGGGCCAUGAUGAAACUUGAUUGUGCAUGAUAUCCACAAGUCUUAUAAAAGAAAUCAUAGUAAACUUUUAAGUCAGACUUCCAUUACAUUCCAGAGAGGUUCCAUCUGAGUUCCUAGACAACCGAGAGGCUGGCUAGGGUGGAGAAAUGGUUUUAGCUAGUAUUGUAAUCUGUGAUUUUUCUUGUAUACAUGUAUUCGGCUAUGCUAUAUAAAAUAUAAAAACGAA